UUUCAUUCCUCGUACUGAGUUUGGUUUAUAUGCAGCUCAGGUACAGUGCAUUUAGGAUGUGCAGCCUCCCAAGUGAUUAAGCUAGAAGAAUUCAGACAUGUGCUUGUGGUGUUCAGAUUAUGGGGAAUGAGUUCAGAUGCUCAGACACUGCAGAGUAAAUAGUUCAGACUUGAGAUGUUCGGAGGGUUCAGAUCUUCAGAGACAUCAUUGUUCUUCUAAUCUGGUUUCAGUAACUCAUGUUAUUCUUAUUUUUGCCAUCUCGUCAUAUUUAUCCGCUCAUUCUUGCAACAGCUUCAGAUGAUACUAUAUCUUGUAAGGUCUGUUACCUGCAUUAGUUUCAGAUGCUACUAUAUCUUGUAUGGAGUAUAUAUACAUAUAGAAAUAAAUCACUUGCAUAUAUUCUAGAUAAGAGUGUACACUGUAGUUUAUACAGGUGUGGAGAAGAAUAUUUAAAGAGAAAAGAAGUGUAUAUACUGCAGUAGUGAUUGUAUGUACUAAUACAGAAGUCUAAGAAUGUGGUAAAUUCGAUUAUCUAUACUAAUGCAGUAUGGUGCCAUCACCUGAGGCUUGUAGUUUAUUAUAAGACAUAGUUAUAUUUCACAUACUCUUAAAACUUUCUUUCCCUCUUAAUUGAAAGGCAGAGCUCCUGCCAUUUGCGUUCAAAAAAAGAGUUAUAUUUCACAUAACCAUUGCAAGUUCUGCUUCAACAGAGAAUUUGUGUCUUCAAACUUUAUCCAGAUCUACAAUACUUGUAUUUCUUGAUGACAAAUCUCUAGAAAUACUAUGGUCUUGUUUUCUAUAACCACAUCACCACAUCCAUGGUAUACAAAUAUACAACAUGGCCUUGCUGGUGGGUAUGUCUCAAGGAUUGUUUCUUAAACUAAACAGAAUCUGCAGUACUGUUAAAUUCUGUUAUUAUCGUGCGUGUUAGGAAGAAAUCCUUGAACCCUAUGGCUCCAAUACACAAAUAUAGCUCCAUAUCAGAUGUACUGACCACUACCUGCUGGUGAUGAAACUUUUGUGCAUACAAACAAUUAUGAGUAAUAAUUUAGUUAGUAUAUGGUACAUAUUGCUAAGUGAGUGUCUGCGCGUGAAAUAUUUUUAACAAGUACUUGAGUACUAAGUGGCCCCAUCUUGUUUGGAUGACCAUAUUGCAUAGAUAUCAGUGAAUAUAUAGUGUAGUAUAUAGUGAGUUAGUAAAUAUGUACUGUAUACUAAUUUAUUGCUACUUGCAUUGCAAUCAGUGGUUUACUCUUGUCAGGUCUAACCUCUACUACUAAUUAAGGAACCACAUGCUGUAGUGCACCUGCAUGAUGGUACUCUUGUCAGGGUGGACUGCAAACCCAGAUGUCUAUUUUUAUUUUCAAAACCAAACUAGAAAACUCCAUCAGCUGCCUGAACUCCAUCCUUGUCGCUCCAUCCACCAUCCUCCAAACCAUCUGUUUUGUUCAGUUUGAUUUAAUUUUACCUCAAUGCUCCACAUCAAGCCCCUCUUUCUAGAUUUGCUUUGAUAUGUAGGACUUUGAGGGUUGCAUUUUGAGAGCAUCAACAGUUAUUUUCUUCUUUCGCACAACAGACUUUGCUUCUUUUUUCUAGAAAAACUUUCCCUAGUAUGCUGAGAUGGAUAGACGUACUAGUUUAUAUUAUUAAUCCAAUUAUUCUAUUAAUUGCUCAUUUUAAAAUUAAAUUUGUGCUGCAUUUUGGUUGUGUUAUAGCAAGAUAUUUAUGUUAUUUAUUUUUCUCUGUUUCCUUCCUCUCACCACUAAGCUCAGAGUACUAAUAGUUUGUUGCCUUUUCAGCUUUAACAAGUCUCAAGAUGGUACAUUCAAAGUUAAUAUUAAUCUUCAAGUCCCUCCAUAGUGGGAAGCGAAAGUGCUGUAUUGUUCUCACGCAGAGAAGAAUAUACUGCCAUGGUUUCCUUCCUUAAUGAUGGAAGGACAGCGCAGGAGAUGAACCAGUGGCAGUCCAGCAAAGCAAGGAUAUGAGUCAGGACCUGGGCAUAGCGUGUUGCAACAGAGCAAAGCAUGCAGCUUCUACAUCCAGAAUGCAAGAGGAACAAAGUGAUAUGUGUGCCUAGACACCAUGAAUGAGCACGUGGACCGGUGAUCUGUGAUCUGUAGCUCUCCCUUGUAACUGUACUUGAGGCCAAACAUGGUGAGACGGAUCUCAUAGGCAUCACGGGAUCUGUUA